rnacentral:rRNA from 1 species
CGGGCUCAAACGCAGCAGGCAAGUUUUUGAAAGGAGGCUGUCCGCAAGGACCUGCUGCGAGGUGCUGCAUGGUUGUCGUCAGCUCGUGCCGUGAGGUGUCGGCUUAAGUGCCAUAACGAGCGCAACCCCCACCGACAGUUGCCAUCAGGUGAUGCUGGGCACUCUGUCGGGACUGCCGGCGCAAGCUGCGAGGAAGGCGGGGAUGACGUCAAAUCAGCACGGCCCUUACGUCCGGGGCGACACACGUGUUACAAUGGCAGGCACAGCGGGAAGCCACCCGGCGACGGGGAGCGGAGCCCGAAAUCCUGUCUCAGUUCGGAUCGGAGUCUGCAACCCGACUCCGUGAAGCUGGAUUCGCUAGUAAUCGCGCAUCAGCCACGGCGCGGUGAAUACGUUCCCGGGCC